CAUAUAAUGUGAAACAUAUAAUCAGGCUGCUGGUGAAUUUGUUGCUACAUAAAGAAAAAAUGUCUUUUUUCAGAUAAGCUGGCUCUAUAAAAUGUGUAAGUUAGUAAGAGAUAAAUAUGAUUCAAAACUCUCAUUAAAUGGAAAGCUCAGAAAACUUUGGACUGAUUAUAAAGCAGAGCCUGUGAGAAAGCCUGGUAUCUUUUAGGGAAGAGUAUAUUUAAUUGUUUAUAUAAAUUAAAAAUGUGGAUGAAUUUGGAAAUAAAUGCUGAAUCUUAGGGAACUGAUUUAAAAAUUAUCAAUCCAAGGGAAAUAAAAGAUAGAGAAACAGUCACCAAAUAUCCAAUUAAUUUUUUCUACAUUUCUUAGUCCCCUUAUAAUUAGGCUGGGCCGUUUGACUAUUUUUGCCUAAAAAAAUGUGAACGGAUAGGAUUUAUCAAUACUUCCACUCUGAGGCACUGUCAGUUUUCUAAUUUCUCCCUCUGCCCCAAGCAUCAGGACAAAGGAGGUCCCCUGUUCCAGAUACAAGAGCUACAAAAUACUGCAGCCUGCCUCUGUGAACCUGACUUCCUCAGUCACCCUGGUGGACCAGUGCUGACCAGGUAGCAUGAAUGAUAAACUUUUAUGUCGUUAAGCAUUUGUGAUGAGAUUGUUUAUUACCGCAAUACAAUUUAACCAAUCCUGACUAAAACAAGGAGUAAGUGAACAUCUGGGAGAGAGCCAAACAGUGAAAAAAAAUUUUUUGUGUGUGUCUUUAUAGGGCUACCCCAAGCACGUGGAAGUCCCCAGGCUAGGGGACCAACUGGAGCUGUACCCACUGGCCUACAACACAGCCACAGCAACUCUGGAUCCAAGCCUCGUCUGUGACCUACACCACAGCUCAUGGCAAUGCAGGAUCUUUAACCCACUGAUUGAGGCCAGGGAUCAAACCCAGAUCCUCAUGGAAUCUGGUUAGUCUGGUUAGUUACCACUGAGCCAUGAUGGGAACUGUCAAACUCCGAAAUUAAAAAUGAAACAAAGGCAAAACCCUCAAAAUCUCUGGUUCUCAGUAGCUCUCUAAGCAGGAAUUUUGCACUAAUGAGGAAAGAUUGUUGCUAAAAGUUCUGUCUAGUCUUAACACCAGCUCGGUUUUACCUAACUGCCAAAAGUGUUUCUGAAUGUGGCAGCUCUGGGUUAUUUGUUGGUCAACCCAGUCUACAGAAUGGUUUCUGUUUAUUCACUUUUAUUGAGCUCUGUUACUACUGAGUUGAAUAAAAUUUGUGUGUAAGCGCCUCUCCCUGUGUCUGAUUUGUUAGUUAUCUGAUAGGAAAGUCAACCCCCUCAGGCCAAAUCUUUGAAAGAGGAAAUUAUCAUGAGUUGGGCAGAAUAUAUCUUAUAGAUUUUGCUAAAUCGCAAAAUGCACUGUGAGCAUGUGUUGGAAAACCCUCAAUUAGGCCCCAAACUGCAAAAUGCUAACGAGACAAAUUAGGAACUGAGUGAUACAGAAAUGGCUGUCUGAAAUAGUGAGCUGAUGGGGCUUGUGUCAGAUUGCUGAGAGAAGGGCUUAUCCCGUGAUUAGCCCCAGGCACGCAGGUGUCACAUUCAGCACCCCAGGGUGAGCUCUAAUUUCCUCUGCUUCUCUGAGCCCAGGGACUUGAAACUACCAAGUGGAGGAAAGUAACAUUUAUGGAACAUCUAUGGUGUACUAAUUACCAUACUAUAUAUUUUCUCAAGUAGACUUCCAUUUUACAGAUAAGGCAACUGAGGCUAAGGGUAGCUAAGUCACUCAAGAGCCAGGGUCAGGAUUCAACCUGGUUCCAGGCCUUGCUAUCAUCCCACAUGUUCACACUGACCAGCCCAUUAACAAGACCACAGAGCUAUACUCAUCCUAAAGGAACUCUUCUUGGUGAGGCAGUCAAAUGAACGUUGGUGCUCAUUUUUUCUUUUAACCAAGAUCUCUGAGUCAGUGUCUAUGAGUGCAUAAGGCCACAGAUUCAAUAUGCAAAAGGUUCCGAUUUCAGUGAAAUUCUACUUUAAAUGUAUAUAUAGAAUUAACUUUUUAAAAAAUCAUCAGAAAAUGUGAUAUUCCUCAUGUAUAAAUUUUCUUAAUGUCCAAAGCUUACAUUUUAAGGUCACAUUUUAAAGUAUUUUUCCAAAAUUUUUCAGAAUCUCUUUUUGCCCUCCUUUUUUUGACUUCAAGUUUAUUGAUACAUAAUUGAUACAUAACAUUGCAUAAGUUUAAGGUGAAAUGCUACUUUGACAUGCAAGCAGCAAUGAGGCAGCCCCAGCAGACAAGAUUUAGCAUAAUAAAUCCAAGUCGUGCAACCAAUAAGGUGGAGGAUACAGGAAGAAGUAGGUUAAAAGUUAUAAUUAAAAAUAACAUUGACACUUUGCAGGUGAAGACUCCACACAGUGGAAAACAUUCCUUUGUUCUACUCUCCAUGCAGAUUUCACUUCUGAAAAGUGCAUAUUAAUAUUUGUUUAGAUUUUUUGCCUUUAUUUAAAAAAUACAUGUAAGGAAGGAGCACACACAAGGAAUCUAAGACACAGCCCUUUCAUCUCAUUCAUUUUUUUGAAUUAGAAUUUGGAAAUAAGAGUUUUGUUUUCCUAUAAGCACAUUCCUGAUAAAUAAUCUUGCUAGUCAUUGCAAAUCAUCCUUCUUGGAUUAUUUUAUUAAUUUAGUGGGUGGAUUUAUUCCUACUGUGCAUGAGCAAUAGUUGUCUCAUCUUCACCAUAGACUCGUACAUUAUGCAAAAACAUAGAGACAUUAGUUAGUCUUUUACUAAGGGUCUAGGGGUCCUUAAAAAAUUAAACCACUAAAAUUAACUUAACAUUCUAAAUACAAAUUGAUGACAUUUCUAUGUGAAUAAGCCCUAUUUUACUUUAAUAACUUUCUUCAUCUGUAAAAAUGUACCCCCACAUAUCUACACCAUGGGGCAGUUGUGAGAACUGAAAAGGGAGCAUAAUUGAAAGAAAGCAUCACUGCUUGAAUCCUAAUAUGAAGCCAAGAUAUAUUCACUUUCUUUCUUCUUGCUACCAAAUCCUAAUUGCACAUGCACUAAAUGUUCACCAAAGUUUAAGCACCUUGAGGUCAGGUACUUUUUCAAUUUAUCUCAGUUUCUGCAGAGCCCAGAAAAGUAUCUGGCACAUUGAGUGUUUCUUAAAUGAAUGACUUUACAUUUCUUUAGAUGAGAAUUUUUAUAUCUACUUGCAAAUUUUCACUUCUUUCAAACUUUGAAAAUUAGGCAACUGUAGAUAAUACUCCUAAGUUUUGAUCUCUCCGGGAUCUUUUUUGGCACAUCAUUCAAUAUGAUUUCCCAUCUCACUGAAAUAAUUCUCAGUUUCUCUUGAGAGUAUUGCGAAAAAUUACAUUCAUGCUCUAGCUCUAAAUUCUUCUACAGAAUGUGGUUUUGAUGAGUAAACAAAGGCUUCAAAUAUUUCCUGCUAUUACGAGUGUACUUAAAAGUUCAGUCUCAAGUUACUUUAUACUGCUCUAAAUCUGAAGUAAGAACCAGUCACUUAGAAAAAAAGAGCAGUUAUUAAAACAAAACUUAGAAGUACAGAUAUGCCAAAGAAUUUUUUCUGUUUUUGUUGUUUUGUUAUCUUUUUCUGUUUUGUUUGUUUUAAUAUCUUAGGGAAGCCAGAAAAAUUAGUUUCACAGUUAUCAAAGAAAGCAAAAUUAAUGAAAUGAUUACAGUUGUCUAGCUUUUGAGUGUAUUAUAGAUGUUUUCUUGUUCUUCUUUUUCCCUUUUUUUAUCCUCCCCUCUUUCCAUAUUAACAUUUGUUAAUUAAACUGUUUUCUAGGUAUUUUGAGGGAACAGUACUUUUUUUGUUGUUUUCUGGCAUAACUUAGUUCAAAAUUUUGUUUCAAAACAAAGCCAAGUUGCAGCCCAUACCUGCCUUUAUUCUGGGAAAAGCAAAACCUAGCAAAACAUUCUUUGCCUUCACCCUUCAGUCUUGUCUUUGAAAUGGUUACACAGUAGCUGAUCUCUGGUAGGACAGCUUUAGCCCUGAAGAAAACUUCUAUUUAUAAUGUUUACAUACGAUCCCAAAAAAGGAGGGAAAGAAGAAGAAAAUUACAUACACAGAGUUUUAUUUAGUCUCCAGAAUCAUAACCCAGAAGUUAGCUGGUCAACCAGAAGAAUGGGGAGAGGGGAGGGGUGGGGAGCUUACUGCUCUCAGUGUAAAGAUGGCCUCCUCUCAGUUUGUGCCAAGAGGUCAUCCAUUCACAGCCUUCUUUGGCCGGGAGGGAACUACCAACCACAGCUGCUGUGCAGCUCUGAAAGUAUCCUAGUGUGGUCAGCUCAUUCCAUCUUCAGCAGAGGAGACAAUGUGUGAGGCUGAAUGUAGACACUAUGAGAGGUUUAUUUAAAAGCAGAAACAGGAGUUCCCGUGGUGGCUCAGUGGUUAAUGAAUCUGACUAGGAUCCAUGAUGAUGCAGUUUCCAUCCCUGGCCUUGUUCAGUGGAUUAAGGAUGCAGUGUUGCCGUGACCUGUGUGGGAGGUCUCAGACGGGGCUAGGAUUCGCAUUGCUGUGGCUGUGGUGUAGGCUGGCAGCUGUAGCUCCAAUUAGACCCCUAGCCUGGGAACUUCCAUAUGCCAUAGGUGCAGCUGGUCCUAGAAAGACAAAAACAAAAAAACAAAAAACCUGAAGCAGGUUGUAAGAGAAUAAACAGGUAGCACAGGUAAUUCUCAACCCCUGAAACCUGAUCAGACCCACCUUCAGUGUUUGUUCCGACUGCCUCCUGAGAUCUCUCCUUCUCUCUGCCAGCCUUGCCUCUGUACACGCUCCUCCAUACCCACCUUUGAGAACAAGAGUCUGAUGGUGUCUCUGUCUGUUACCAAAGUCCCAAUGAAAACAUAAUUAGAUAUCUUGGCAGAUCCAUGGCACUAAGUGCUGAAUUAGAUUCCCUGGUGGAUACAAGCAACAGAUAAUAAGAAAUUCCCUAAAGUGAUUCUUCCAAAUGUAACUUAGAUUUGGAAUGUAUUAUCCAUAGGGAGUUCCUAGUGGUUAAGUCUAAAAGUUAAGGAUUCAGCCUUAUCACUGCUGUGGCUCAGGUUACUGCUGUGGCUUGGGUUCAAUCCCUGGCCUGGGAAUUUCCACAUGCCACGGGAGCAGCAAAAAAAAAAAAAAAAA
rnacentral:lncRNA from 1 species